GACGAACGCUGGCGGCGUGCUUAACACAUGCGAGUCGAACGGAAAGGCCCUGCUUUUGUGGGGUGCUCGAGUGGCGAACGGGUGAGUAACACGUGAGUAACCUGCCCUUGACUUUGGGAUAACUUCAGGAAACUGGGGCUAAUACCGGAUAGGAGCUCCUGCUGCAUGGUGGGGGUGGGAAAGUUUCGGCGGUUGGGGAUGGACUCGCGGCUUAUCAGCUUGUUGGUGGGGUAGUGGCUUACCAAGGCUUUGACGGGUAGCCGGCCUGAGAGGGUGACCGGCCACAUUGGGACUGAGAUACGGCCCAGACUCCUACGGGAGGCAGCAGUGGGGAAUAUUGCACAAUGGGCGGAAGCCUGAUGCAGCAACGCCGCGUGCGGGAUGACGGCCUUCGGGUUGUAAACCGCUUUCGCCUGUGACGAAGCGUGAGUGACGGUAAUGGGUAAAGAAGCACCGGCUAACUACGUG
rnacentral:rRNA from 1 species